rnacentral:rRNA from 1 species
UACGUAGGGGGCAAGCGUUGUCCGGAAUCAUUGGGCGUAAAGAGCGUGUAGGCGGUUAGGUAGGUCCGUUGUGAAAACUCGAGGCUCAACCUCGAGACGCCGAUGGAAACCAUCUAACUAGAGUCCGGAAGAGGAGAGUGGAAUUCCUGGUGUAGCGGUGAAAUGCGUAGAUAUCAGGAGGAACACCGGUGGCGAAGGCGGGUCUCUGGGCCGAUACUGACGCUGAGGAGCGAAAGCGUGGGGAGCGAACAGG